rnacentral:rRNA from 1 species
UGGACGUUUAAAACGAAAUUUUAAAAUGAGUUUUUAUUAAUUUUGAUUUUUAAAUUUCCUUACAACAAAUUGAAUUAGAUUAAAUAAAAUUAAUUGUUAUAUAACAUGUAAAACUUAGCGAAUUGAAACAUCUUAGUAGCUAAAGUUAAAACAUCAACCGAGAAACUGUAAGUAGUGGCGAACGAAAACAGUAUUUGACUCAAAAGAACUUUGUAAAAAACCCAUAGAAGGUAAAAGUCCUGUAUAACAAUAACCAGUAAUUCUUUUGUAAUUUUAAGUAAAACAAUUUUUUUGUUUUAAAAAUUGGGGUACCAUCCCUCAAAGUCUGAAAUUUUUAAUGCUUGAUAGUGGAAUAGUACUGUGAAGGAACGGUGAAAUAAAAUCCUAGGAUUUGAAAAGAUUUUGAAAUUUAAUGUUGACAAUCUGUUGAAGCUUUGAAUAAAGUAACAGCGUACCUUUUGUAUAAUGGAUCAACAAGUUUAUUAAAGUGGCGAGCUUAAAUAUUAAUGUGUAGGCUUAAAGAAAUUAAAUUUGUUUUAAAAAUGCUUUUAAGUCUCUUUAAUAAUACCCGAAACUAAGUGAUCUAUUCAUGAACAGGUUGAAAAUGACGCGUAAGCCCAUUGAAGGACCGAACCAGUGUGUGUGGCAAAAUACUUGGAUGAUUUGUGAUUAGGGGUGAAAGGCCAAUCAAACUUAGAAAUAGCUGGUUUUCUGCGAAAUCUAUUUUAGUAGAGCGUUUAAAAACGUUGUUUAGGGGUAGAGCUCUUGAUAAAUAAAGGGGAUGAAAAAUCUUACUGAAUUUAAUAAAACUUCGAAUACUUAACAAUUUUAGUUUUUAAGCAGACAGACUACGAGUGCUAAGAUUCGUAGUCAAAAGGGAAACAGCCCAGAUUAAAUAAUAAGGUUCUCAAAAAUAAUUAAGUGCGAAACAUAGAAAAAAACAAAAACAACCGAAAAGUAGGCUUGGAAGCAGCCAUCUUUUAAAGAAAGCGUAACAGCUCAUUGGUUUGAAUUUUUUCUAUUUAAAAUGUAUAGGAACUAAAAUUAUUUACCGAAAUUUUAAAUUAAAUUAGUAAAAGACUAAUAUAAAUUAAUGGUAGCAGAACGUUCUGUAAAUUUAUUAAGAUUUAUAGUAAUAUAAAUUGAAAAUAUCAGAAUUGCUAAUGUUGAUAUGAGUAGCUUAAACAAUGUGAAAAACAUUGUCGCCUUAAAUCUAAGGUUUCCAAAAUAAAGUUAAUCUGUUUUGGUGUUAAUCGGUCUCUAAAAUUAAAACGAAAGUUUUAUUUUGAUGAGUUUUAAAAUGUUAAUUUUGAUUAAUUAUUUAUGUGACAAAAUACAAAUAUGAUUUUUAUUUUAUGGUAAAACAAUAAAAGUAAUCUAGUAUUUUCAAGAAAUAGCAUUUAUAUAUUGAUUUAACCGUACUAAAACCGACACAGGUAGAUAAAUUGAAAAAAUUAAGGCGUUAAGAGAAUUGUAUUGAAGGAACUCGGCAAAAUUACUCUGUAACUUCGGAAAAAAGAGUACCUUAUUUUGGAUUUUAAAAAUUUUCAAUUUAAGGUCACAGAAAAUUGAGGAAAGCGGCUGUUUACUAAAAACAUAGGUCUCUGCUAAAUUGUAAAAUGAAGUAUAGAGACUGACGUCUGCCCAGUGCUGUAUGAAUAAUAAAUUAAUGUUUACGAGCAUCAGUUUUUAAUUUUCAGUAAACGGCGGUUGUAACUCUGACGAUCCAAAGGUAGCGAAAUUCCUUGGCAUUUAAUUGGUGUCCUUGCAUGAAUGACGUAACGACUUUCCUACUGUCUCCAGUACAAGCUUAGUGAAAUUGAAUUUUUUGUGAAGAUGCAAAAUUUUUGCCGAUAGACGGAAAGACCCCGUACACCUUUACUAUAAUCAUAUAUUGUAGUAAGAAAUUUUAUUGUUUAGCAUAAGUGGUAAGUUUUUAUUAAUAUUUUUUACACAAGUAAAUAAAUUAAAACUUUAUGUGAAAUACCACUCUAUUAAAUUUUUUACUACUUAUUUUAAAGACAGUGUAUGACUGGUAGUUUGACUGGGGCGGUCACCUCCUAAAAAGUAUCGGAGGUGUGCUAAGGUAAGCUCAAAUUAAUUUUAAAUUAAUUUUAGAGCGCAAUAGUACAUGCUUGCUUGAUUGUAAGAUUGACAAAUCGAACAAGGACGGAAGUCGGUUAUAGUGAUCCGAUGAUUUUAUGUGGAAAAGUCAUCGCUCAACGAAUAAAAGGUACGUCGGGGAUAACAGGCUAAUAAUUCCUAAGAGACCUUAUCGACGGAAUUGUUUGGCACCUCGAUGUUGGAUUAUCGCAUCCAGGAAUUGCACAAGAUUCCAAGGGUUUGACUGUUCGUCAAUUAAGGCGGUACAUGAUCUGAGUUUAGAACGUUGUAAAACAGUUUGGUCCCUAUCUUCGGUAAAUUUUAAAAAUUGAAAGGUGUUAACUCUAGUACGAGAGGACCGAGAAAAAUAAAUCCAUGGUUUAUCAAUUGUUAGACCACUAGCAUUGUUGAUUAGCUACAUUUGUAAUAGAUAAUUACUGAAAGCAAUUCAAGUAAGAAGCUAACCUUAAAACUGAUUUUUUUAAAUGUAAUAGAUUAUUACAUCAAUAGGUCUGAUGUGUGCAAGCUGUAAAGUUUUUAGCAAACAGAUACUAAUAUU